GGCCCUAUGGGUUGUAAACUGCUUUUAUAAGGGAAUAAAGUGAGAGUCGUGACACUUUUUGCAUGUACCUUAUGAAUAAGGACCGGCUAAUUCCGUGCCAGCAGCCGCGGUAAUACGGAAGGUCCGGGCGUUAUCCGGAUUUAUUGGGUUUAAAGGGAGCGUAGGCCGGAGAUUAAGCGUGUUGUGAAAUGUAGACGCUCAACGUCUGCAGUGCAGCGCGAACUGGUUUCCUUGAGUACGCACAAAGUGGGCGGAAUUCGUGGUGUAGCGGUGAAAUGCUUAGAUAUCACGAAGAACUCCGAUUGCGAAGGCAGCUCACUGGAGCGCAACUGACGCUGAAGCUCGAAAGUGCGGGUAUCGAACAGGAUUAGAUACCCUGGUAGUCCGCACGGUAAACGAUGGAUGCCCGCUGUUGGUCUGAAUAGGUCAGCGGCCAAGCGAAAGCAUUAAGCAUCCCACCUGGGGAGUACGCCGGCAACGGUGCAACUCAAAUGAAUUGACGG
rnacentral:rRNA from 1 species